GUAGUGAUUUUGCAUGCUAAAUUUUAAGAUUUUUAGGUAUUCUUUUUUAAAAUAUAUUUUUAGUUGUCUAUGGACCUUUUUUAUUUUAUUUUAUUUUAUUUUUUAUUAAUAUGUGUUGCUGAGAAUUGAACCCAGUGCCUUACACAUGCUAGGCAAGUGCUCUACCACUUAAGUCACAACUCCAGCCCAGAUUUUUAGGUAUUCUUGACAUGUUUUUCCAAAAACAAAAUCAGUAUAAAUGCCCUUUUAUUUUUAAAAUCUCAACCCGUCUUUGUACUAAUGCAAUUUGAUUGGUUUUCACCCGAGUGAUGAAAAGUGGGGAGGGUUAUGUGUUGGGACUAACAGGUGAUAAGAUUGUCAUGACUCCAGAUACAUUGUGGAUCACAAAUAUGGGCUGGCUCUGUCAGAGAUAUCACCUUUCCACCGUUUCCCUACGUGAAACCUAGAAGUCUUUGCCUUUUCCUCUUUCAUGCCCUGCAUGCAAUAAGUAGAGCCUUAUUGAUUACUUAUUUAGAAAAAUCUCUUGGCUUCGUCUUUUCUGUUCCUGCAACCAGGGUAUCAUUUCUUUUUUUGCUUAGUUUUGUUAUUGUUUUUUGUGAUCCCUCCCAUCUCCCGCCACCGUGUGAUUCUGGGGAUUGAACCUAGGGCCUUGAACAUGCUAGGCAAACACUGAGCUGUAUCUCCAGCUGUUUAAAUUCUGUAUUGAAACAGG
rnacentral:lncRNA from 1 species